rnacentral:lncRNA from 1 species
GCGUGUCUUGCAUCCACCGCCUCCCGACGACCUACAAGACCGAGCCCCUGACCCCGCGGACGAACCCUAGCCUCUCCUCCCUCUCUCACUCGCGCCGCUUUUUCUCUUGCGUACAUGGCCGAACAACCGCUACCAAGUUCACCGUCGAGAUGCCGUGGCCACCGGCCUUCCCCCAUCGCACCACCAUGUCCAGGAGCAACACCAUCAUCACCUUCAUCGCCUACGUCCACGGAUUGGAGCCGGGUCAUCAAGGAUUGAGCGCAUCGACCUCUUCUUCAUCAUCACCGACCACUGCUUCUCGGCGUCGAUCCGCGCUGCUCCGACCACCCCCGGCCUCGCCGUCUGCUCCCCCAGCUCCGCGGUGAGCAUCUCCACCGAUCCUCCCGCUUUCCCCCUUGUUUAGUCGCCGUUUGCGCCGCCCACCACUUCCCUGUGGGCUCGUGCUCGCGCUCACCGUGCCGGCCGCGCCUCGCAUGGCCGUGCGCCACCCGCGCCCUGCCUUGCCGAGGCCGCACCCUGGCCGCGUUCUGCACGCCCCUGCGUGCGCCCGGGCUUGUGCGUGGCCGGGCCCUGCCGCCCCUGCUGCCUUGGCCCCUCGCGCCCCGUGCGGCCAUAGCCGGCCGCUGCGGCUUCCUGCUGUUGUGUUCUGCAGCUGGUGCCGCUGCUGUGCUGCUCUGCUUACUGCCGUCUACGUUGAUGCUGUUUUUUUUUCUACUGCCGUUUCUGCUCUCUGAUGCUUCUUGCUGCUGCUCUUUGCUGCGCGCUCGCCCAGCUGCCCCAGCCGUUCGCUGCCGCCCCUGUUCCCGAGCGAUGCUGCUGGUCGUGGCCGUCAUACGCUGCAUGCAUACGUCCCUAGCUAGGUGAGGCACCGCUUGUGCCUCUGGCCAUGGCCGUGGUUGGUGUGUGCUAGUAUGUGUAUGUGCGUGAGCCUGUGUGGUGUUUAAUUAGAAUAUAGGAUUAGUUUAUGACUAACCUAGCGCUAAUCUCUUCCUAAUAAUAAAGCACGGAUUGACUCCGUGGGUUCACCGUCACAAUGCGCUUUCUUCUCGUGUCAUAAUACGCUUUUAUGAUUCGUAUAGACAAAAUCGUAAUAUAAACAAGGUGGUACUAAUGGUCCUUGCCCACGUAUCCGAAAAAAAUAUUCACUGAUGAAGGUAUAGAACUCACAACCUCCAGGUUAGUAAACGAAUGCUUUUAUGAUUCGUAUAGACAAAAUCGUAAUAUAAACAAGGUGGUACUAAUGGUCCUUGCCCACGUAUCCGAAAAAAAUAUUCACUGGUGAAGGUAUAGAACUCACAACCUCCAGGUUAGUAAACGAAUGCUUUUAUGAUUCGUAUAGACAAAAUCGUAAUAUAAAAUACUAAUGGUCCUUGCCCACGUAUCCGAAAAAAAUAUUCACUGGUGAAGGUAUAGAACUCACAACCUCCAGGUUAGUAAACGAAUGUCGUGGCCAACUCAACUAGCCCCUGUUGUGUGUACGAAUCAAAGUUGAUUGUGUUGUUAAAUUGUCCCACCUCGCUCCCUUACAUACAAUAUACCCAACUUAUAUACGUCUCUCAGUUCCCUCGGUAUCAGAAAGAGGUCUCAAGGAUUAUGACAGAGAAGAGAUGGUGGAAGGAAGAGAGGCUAAGGAAGGAAAUAUAUAUGUAGAGGCUAAGAAAGGAAAGAGGUGGCUAAGCUAAGGAAGGGAAAACAAGGAAGGAAAGAGACGAUAAAUAUGGGCUGCUGGAAAGAGAGGAUAAUUAACUUUCUAUAUAAGGACGGCGGAUAUGCAUGUUGAUUCACGUUGCCUGUUGUGUGAUGCCCUGAUCAAUGGAUGAAAGAAGCUGGAGGGACUAAGAGGAGAGGAUGUGAAUAAUUCAAACUCUCCAUUCUCAUGCCAGGUUGAAAGGCUCAAGAUAGAAAAACGUGAGUGGUGUUGAUCUUUUUUAUUACUAAUUGACUUGGAAAAUAACUCUAACUCCAUGCUUGAAAGUCUCAAGAAAAAAACAUGAAGAGGUUUUGGUGCUGAUCGUUGUUAACUGAAGUUGGAUUUGGUGUUUGUUUGUGUUCUUCACAGACUGGUAGAAUGGUACUAACUACUACCUGACAUAAAAGCCCGAAAGGAAACGAACACCAUCCAUAGUCCAAAUUGGAUACGACAUUUUUGGACUAACAUAUUUACACGGAAGCAUGAUAAUAACUACUACGACAUAAAGCUAGAAAAGAAAUGAACACCAUCCAUAGUCCAAAUAGGAUUGCACAUUGGUGGACUAACAUUAUGUACACAGGUUAGCACACACGCGGGAAGCAUGUAUACCUAGAUGGCCUGUGAAGUAUACGGCGAAGAUUUAUACAUGGAAGCACAAAACCAGACAAUUUGUCUUUAGGUAUAUACAAAAUAAAUUGUCUUCAUAGAAAGUGCAUGUCUUAUAUAUCCCGAAAAAGUAUGGAAGUGUUUGGUAGUGUUUUCCCGCUACUGAUUGUUGUCAAUCCUUAUGAGGACGAUCCAUGGACCAGGUGCGAGGAGUAGAUUGCGCAGGGCGGCCCUUACGCCAACUUGAUGAGAUUAUAGUUUUUAAAAUUUUAAACAUCCCCUUGCAUUGGUACACUUCAAUGACAGGUGUGUCGUGUAGUGGCCGAGCUGAUCACCUCAGGAUUGACAACUUUCGGACGUGUUAUGAUCAAGUGGACAAUGCGGCAACUAUCAACAAGGGCGGAAGAAGUAUAAGAGGCGGCAGGGGUGUGGUGCCGUGUUGAAAUAUAUGACGUCGCCUGUGGAAGUCUUGAGAUAUGGUAAUUGAGUUAAUUAAGGGCAUGCAAUAUUUUUUCUCCCGUUGCAUCGCACGGGCAUAUGUGCUAGUUUAGUUCAAUGAAACAAUGUCACGUGGCCCUAUUUUUAAUCUAGACACUAGUUAAUUUUUGUGACAAUGACAUAUGGGCCACACUGUCUCUGUUGACUAGUCCAACGUUGACUUGAUUGACUGGGUUGACUGCACUUUAGAAUUUAAUAUUCGAAUUUAAAAUGAUUCUAGAAAAUUUCAGAAAACUGAUAAAGCUUUGAAAAUUAAUAUAAAUUAAAUCGUAGCUCGGAUGAAAAAGCUUUGUACACGAAAGUUGCUCAGGUCGACUAGAUGAAUCCGGAUACGCAGCCCGUUCGUCCGCCACGCGUCCCUAGCAUAGCGAACCUGCAACAUUUUACCUCCGGUUCAUCUGUCCGAAAAUGCGAAACACCGGGGAUAUUUUCCCGGAUGUUUUCCCUUUCCGCCGGUAUCACCUACUAUUGCGUUAGGGCACACCUAGCACCUCUCCUUGUCAUGUCUUGCAUCGUCAUGCUUAUGUUUGCAUUAUAUUUAUUGUUUCUUCCCCCUCUUCUUUUCGGUAGACUACGAGACCGAUGAUGUUGCUGCCCCGUUCGACUACGGAGUUGACGACCCCUCUUUCUUGCCAGA